CACGUAGGGACCAAGCGUUGUCCGGAUUCAUUGGGCGUAAAGAGCUUGUAGGCGGUUUGUCGCGUCUGCUGUGAAAUUUCGGGGCUCAACCCCGAACUUGCAGUGGGUACGGGCAGACUAGAGUGUGGUAGGGGAGACUGGAAUUCCUGGUGUAGCGGUGAAAUGCGCAGAUAUCAGGAGGAACACCGAUGGCGAAGGCAGGUCUCUGGGCCAUAACUGACGCUGAGAAGCGAAAGCAUGGGGAGCGAACAGG
rnacentral:rRNA from 1 species